rnacentral:lncRNA from 1 species
UGAAAUCUCCUCCUUUCUGUGUGUUAAGUUAUAUGGUGACAUGCUAACACGCUAACAUAAGAUAGAAAAACAUGGUAAAUAUUACACCUGCUAAACAACAGCAUGUUAUCAAAGUAAGAGCUGUAGAGUCUUGUUAAAGAAAGAGCAGCCACUCCCCUCAUUUGAGACAGAAAUAAAUUCAAGCUUAUGCAAAUCACGUAAAAAGAAAAACUUGUUUCCAUAAUGACGCUGCCUUCCAUCUCUCAAAAAUCCCCAAAACAUCCCUCACAGAGCCAAAACCGACAUUAAAACCUUUUCAGGUGUGUGUGUCAUUUGUGGUUAAAAUAAACUUUAGCUGCUUGUCCGCAGUCGGAGAACGCUGUUAAAUAUCUUGCUGAAUGUCCCUUAGAGUCAGAAACACUUUGGAUAUAGUGUCCAACUUUUUACGGCUGUACCAUUACAUCAAAUGGAAAAUUGUACAUGGCAUAUGUUUUAUCUGUGUAAUUCACUGAAUGGAUUUCAUGGAUUUGAUCCCAUGACUUUGUGCUUUCUCUCUGCUCGCUGCCGGUAGCCCCGACAGAGUUUAUGCCAGCAAAUGACACACUUCCAUAAACACACAGGGGGUCCGAGUUAACCGUCAAUCAUAAGAGAGAGGAAGCGUGAUCCCCAGCUGCUGUCAAAACAACCCCGACAGGUAGAUGUUGGCACAAAGUGGUGGUGGUAGUGGUAGAAACGGUAGCGUGGAGGGCAACAUGAAGCAGGGAGGCAAACCCGGUUUCACCUCCCAGGUUCUCCGGUUGAGAUGAGUCACACUCUGCAAACAUUGUGUUUGAUUUUGCUGUCAGUUCACCUCAGGCGUGGAGGGAGGGAGCAGACACAAACUGUUUGACUGACCUACAUACUGUGUUUAUGUGUCCUGCUGCUGUGCUAGUGGAGGGAGUUUGAAAGGAAACAAUCCCACACACUUAAUAAGCGGUUUUCAAAAAUCCCAUUGUGGAGCUGACGAGCAGAGGAGGAGCACAAGACGGAUAGACACCUUUUGUAUGCCCGCAGCAGUGAAAGGGACGGGUGGUGUUGCAGACCCUCAUGCAGACCCAGGUCUUACUGCGGCUGCCGCUCUCAUAGACGACUGAAGAUACUGAACUGAAUGGGAAGGAUGCAAAGGUGGAAGCAGUCAGUCUUGGAUUCGGUUUCACUGAGUCUUAAUGGAACACACACGCUCGAACACACACACAUACUGCAUGUUUUUUAAUACUAUCUACUUCCCCCUUUCUUUCAGAGGACAUAGAUACACCCUGAAUGGGCCUCUGUGGUGAUCUACACUGUGGUUGGGAAGUACCUAGUGUUACAACUGUCAUGCUGGUCUGCUUAAAGGGACAGCGAUGAUCACUUUUACACGCAGUACGUUUUGUUUUCAGAGCUUUGAAAAAUCCAUAUAGUUGGAUGUUUCAGUUUUCGCCUUAAUAGUGAGUGAGCAGUUUCUCUGUGCAGAGUUUAGAAAUCAAACAGGGUCUUUUCUGUGUUAAAUUGCAGUUUCUAAAUGGUCAGGACAUCACUUGAAAUGCAGAAAGACUUAAUGGAGACUUCUCAGACUUCUUUCUUCAAUAAAGACAUAAAUUCAAUAGAUUUAAAGGCGUCGCCUCUUCUAUAGAGUCCAUCUUCAUACUCACACAAAAAAACAGAAGUCUAUUCAACUUUUUACCAGUUGACUAAUCUAUAAUUGCUGGGGUCAUGAAACUAUACUUCCAGAAUACACUGAGAAUUUGUGAUAUUGUGUAAAUGAAAUCUAAC